rnacentral:rRNA from 1 species
UACAGAGGGUGCAAGCGUUAAUCGGAAUUACUGGGCGUAAAGCGCACGUAGGCGGUUUGUUAAGUUGGAUGUGAAAGCCCCGGGCUCAACCUGGGAAUUGCAUUCAAAACUGGCCAACUAGAGUAUGUGAGAGGGGGGUAGAAUUCCAAGUGUAGCGGUGAAAUGCGUAGAGAUUUGGAGGAAUACCAGUGGCGAAGGCGGCCCCCUGGCACAAUACUGACGCUGAGGUGCGAAAGCGUGGGGAGCAAACAGG